AAGUCGUAACAAGGUUUCCGUAGGUGAACCUGCGGAAGGAUCAUUAGUGAAUAUUAGGGUGCUCUCUUUUGAGAGACCUGACCUCCACUUUUCAACUCUGUGCACUCAUGGCGAAUAUUCUCCGGAGAUGAGUCUUCAUUGACUCUGAAGCGGAUGAAUGUUUGCGGCUUUACUUUAUUAACUCUAAGUUAAAGAAUGUAAGUAAUCAUAACAAAAAAAAACUUUCAACAACGGAUCUCUUGGCUCUC
rnacentral:misc_RNA from 1 species